CCCACUGCUAUCGGGAUAGGACUAAGACAUGCUAGUCGCGUGCUUCAGCCAAACGAGGCACGGCACACAGCUCAGUAACACGUGGCUAAUCUGCCCUUGGGAUAGGAAUAUCCCCGGGAAACUGGGGCUAAUUCCCAAUAGGUGAAGAACUCUGGAAUGAGUCUCCACCAGAAAAGAGCUUACGUUAUGCUCGUAAGUUUCGCCCGAGGAUGAGGCCGCGACCGAUCAGGUUGUUGGCGAGGUAAUGGCUCACCAAGCCUUUUACCGGUGCGGGCCGUGGGAGCGGGAGCCCGGAGAUGGGUACUGAGACAAGGACCCAGGCCCUACGGGGCGCAGCAGUCGCGAAAACUUUGCAAUAAGCGCAAGCUUGACAGGGCUAUCCCGAGUGCCAUCCGCUGAGGAAGGCUUUUACCCAGUCUAGAACGCUGGGGGAAUAAGGAGAGGGCAAGUCUGGUGUCAGCCGCCGCGGUAAUACCAGCUCUCCGAGUGGUGUGGAUGUUUAUUGGGCCUAAAGCAUCCGUAGCUGGCUAAGUUAGUCCCCUGUUAAAUCCACCGAAUUAAUCGUUGGAUCGCGGGGGAUACUGCUUGGCUAGGGGACGAGAGAGGCAGACGGUAUUUUCGGGGUAGGGGUGAAAUCCUAUAAUCCCGGGAAGACCACCAGUGGCGAAGGCUGUCUGCUAGAACGCGCCCGACGGUGAGGGAUGAAAGCUGGGGGAGCGAACCGGAUUAGAUACCCGGGUAGUCCCAGCUGUAAACGAUGCAGACUAGGUGUUUGGACGGCCACGUGCCGUUCUAGUGCCGCAGGGAAGCUGUUAAGUCUGCCGCCUGGGGAGUACGAUCGCAAGAUUGAAACUUAAAGGAAUUGGCGGGGGAGCACCACAAGGGGUGAAGCUUGCGGUUUAAUUGGAUUCAACGCCG
rnacentral:rRNA from 1 species